CUGCGGAAGGACCGCUCCCCGGCGGCGGCUUCCCGAGCGCCGCGUCCUCUGCCUGUCUCUGCCCCUGGCAGGUGUAGGAAUGAAAGGAAGAAGCAACCUUUACCAGAUUCGAGAUCUGAUCCAUUUCAGCGUAAACCCAUGAGUCCUUGAAGGGUGCAUGCUUGCUGCAAGAACGCGUCUGUAGCUCACCCCUGUUGAUGGCUCUGCUUUCCUAUCUUUCAAGUUGCACUCAUCAUUGGGCUAUCUUUGCAUAGCCCCAUCCAGGAAGAAUCUCUGAGAUGUGUGGACUGUAAAUUUGCCCAAGCACGUUGGACUCUUCACAAGGAAUAACCAGACGUGAGGACUAAAAUGGAAGAGUUGGCACCAGUGGAAAGUCAGGGCCAGCUUCCAAGCCCACACCAUGGCUCUCUGAGGAAGGCCGUGGCAGCUGCCCUGGCCCUGGAUGGGGAAUCCACAAUGGGUCGCAGGAAAAAGAAGAGGAAGGAGUCCCGCCCAGAAUCUAUUAUCAUCUACCGGUCAGAGAGUGAGAAAGUGGAUGAGGAGCCUGGGGAAUCAGAAGGUGGAGACCAGCCUAAAGAGGAGGAAGGAGCCGACUUCCUAGACUAUCCUGCCGAUGAUGGUAAUAUGGAGGAGAUCUCGCCCUUUUGGAACUUCUAGUGUAAUGAAAGAGAUUAAUUUAUACACAAAAUUUAGUAAUACAAGCAUACUGUGCUAAUCGCUUAAUACAUGUAAGAUAAAGAAACAAUAAUAGUUGGCUUUCAUAAUAAUCAGGAAAAUGCAAGUUAUAACAACAGUGAGUUAUAGUAUUCCCUCACAUUUAGGAUGGCAAAAAAAUGGAUAAAAUCUAAAAACAUCAAUGUGAGGAAGUGUACAUAUGCUCAUACACCUCAAGUGGAAGUGGAAUUGCUUUAAUCACUUUGUAGGGGAAAUUGUCAAUUUUUAUUAAAUUCAAAAUAUGCAUUCCUGUGUCCUGGAAAUUCUCAGUAUCUACCCCAUGCAAUUUAUGCCCAUGUGCAUAAGGAAGCAUGUGUAAGCAUAUUUGUUGCUGCUAAUGAAGUUGUGGAAUGUCUGUAUUGAGCAUCACUGUGUAGCAACAAAUGGGUGAGGUAGAUCUAUUUGUGUAGAUGGAUUCAUCUCUAAACAUAUACCCACGGUGAACAAGCAACAUCCCUGCUCUCAUGCAGUUGACCUUCUAAUGGAAGGAAGACAGACAGUGAGCAAGUCAGCAAAUAAAAGAUUAUUCAGGUAAUGGUUCAAGUUUCCAAGACAAUAAAUCACGGUGAUGGGAAUAUGAGUAACUGGGAGAGAGAGAUUGCAUGGAUGUGCAAGGGCUCUCUGAGGAUGUGAGGUUUGAGCUGAUCUGAAUGAUAUGAAGGAACCAGCAAUGAAAAGAUCUUGGGCAGAGCUUUUAGAGGAGGGAGAACAGCAAAGGCAAAGACCCCAAGGUGGGAACACCAUUGCUUGUUUCUGGAAUAGAGUAUUUUCUGUUAGUGAGUGUAGAGAACAAGGAAUGGUGAGAGGUCAGAAAGGUGCAGGGUCAGAUCACAUUGGGCCUUGCAGGUCAUAGUAAAGAGUUUAGGAUUUAUUGUAAGUUCCAGGGGAAGUCAAUAAAG